CAGUAGCCGCGGUAAUACGUAGGUGGCAAGCGUUGUCCGGAAUUAUUGGGCGUAAAGCGCGCGCAGGUGGUUUAAUAAGUCUGAUGUGAAAGCCCACGGCUCAACCGUGGAGGGUCAUUGGAAACUGUUAAACUUGAGUGCAGGAGAGAAAAGUGGAAUUCCUAGUGUAGCGGUGAAAUGCGUAGAGAUUAGGAGGAACACCAGUGGCGAAGGCGGCUUUUUGGCCUGUAACUGACACUGAGGCGCGAAAGCGUGGGGAGCAAACAGGAUUAGAUACCCCCGUAGUCCCUGUCUCUUAUAC
rnacentral:rRNA from 1 species